GCCCCUCCCACCCCCAGCACAUAUACUAAAAUUGGAACGAUACAGAGAAGAUUAGCAUGGCCCCUGCGCAGCUUUCCAUCUUUAGCAGUGUAUCACAGUGGU